rnacentral:misc_RNA from 1 species
GUAGGUGAACCUGCGGAAGGAUCAUUACCUAGAGUUGCGGGCUUUGCCUGCCAUCUCUUACCCAUGUCUUUUGAGUACCUUCGUUUCCUCGGCGGGUCCGCCCGCCGAUUGGACAAAACUUAAACCCUUUGUAAUUGAAAUCAGCGUCUGAAAAAACUUAAUAGUUACAACUUUCAACAACGGAUCUCUUGGUUCUGGCAUCGAUGAAGAACGCAGCAUCUGACUGACUCUAGUGGUGGGUAUCUCGUAU